rnacentral:tRNA from 1 species
GGUAAAGUGGCUGAGAAUAGGCGAUAGAUUGUAAAUCUAUUUAUGAUUUUAUAAAUCCUUUACCA